AAAAAAGGAAUAGUGUAUGUGUGUGAAAAAAAUCUGCAGCUAUCCCUUAAGCAUGCUCAGCCAUCUAUUCUGGACAUUUUUUUGACUCCAGCUCCACGCCUAUGUAAUAUUCUUUUUUGACUCCAGCUCCAGCAGCAUAUUUGCAAAAUUUUCACACCCGAACACCUUCAUUUGGUUUCAGAUUUCAGCAGCUAUUAAUCCUCAUCUCAUACCCAUUCCACACUUAAACGUUUUCAUCAUUCUCUGUCAAAGAAAUUUUCAAGUAUCAGUUAAUUCUUGCUUCAUUCAAC
rnacentral:lncRNA from 1 species